AGUGAACGCUGGCGGUAGGCCUAACACAUGCAAGUCGAACGGCAGCACAGUAAGAGCUUGCUCUUACGGGUGGCGAGUGGCGGACGGGUGAGGCAUACAUCGGAAUCUACUUUUUCGUGGGGGAUAACGUAGGGAAACUUACGCUAAUACCGCAUACGACCUACGGGUGAAAGCAGGGGAUCUUCGGACCUUGCGCGAUUGAAUGAGCCGAUGUCGGAUUAGCUAGUUGGCGGGGUAAAGGCCCACCAAGGCGACGAUCCGUAGCUGGUCUGAGAGGAUGAUCAGCCACACUGGAACUGAGACACGGUCCAGACUCCUACGGGAGGCAGCAGUGGGGAAUAUUGGACAAUGGGCGCAAGCCUGAUCCAGCCAUACCGCGUGGGUGAAGAAGGCCUUCGGGUUGUAAAGCCCUUUUGUUGGGAAAGAAAAGCAGCAGGUUAAUACCCCGCUGUUCUGACGGUACCCAAAGAAUAAGCAACGGCUAACUUCGUG
rnacentral:rRNA from 1 species